rnacentral:rRNA from 1 species
UUUCGUAACUCCCAAACCCAUGUGAACCUUAUACUCUGCGUUGCCUCGGCAGGUCGCGCUCACCCGGUGGUACCCUACCCUGUAGGGGCCUACCCGGUGGACGCGGUGAAAGCCUGCCGGCGGCCCAACCCAAACUCUUGUUUAUUAUUUGAAUCUUCUGAACUUUAUAACUAAAUAAGUUAAAACUUUCAACAACGGAUCUCUUGGUUCUGGCAUCGAUGAAGAACGCAGCGAAAUGCGAUAAGUAAUGUGAAUUGCAGAAUUCAGUGAAUCAUCGAAUCUUUGAACGCACAUUGCGCCCAUUAGUAUUCUAGUGGGCAUGCCUGUUCGAGCGUCAUUUCAACCCUUAAGCCCCUGCUGCUUAGUGUUGGGAGCCUACAGCGAUGUAGCUCCUCGAAGUUAGUGGCGGAGUCGGUUACACACUCUAGACGUAGUAAAUAUCUUGUAUUGUCUCGCCUACGGUUGUGCCGGUCCCCUGCCGUAAAACACCCCAGUUUUCUCAAGGUUGACCUCGGAUCAGGUA